rnacentral:rRNA from 1 species
UCGGCUUAGAGUUUGAUCAUGGCUCACAUUGAACGCUGGCGGCAGGCCUAACACAUGCAAGUCCAGCGGUAGGGAAGCUUGCUUCUCACCAGCGGCGGACGGGUGAGUAAUGUAUGGGGAUCUGCCCGAUAGAGGGGGAUAACUACUGGAAACGGUAGCUAAUACCGCAUAAUCUCUCAGGAGCAAAGCAUUCGUUGCGCUAUCGGAUGAACCCAUAUGGGAUUAGCUAUUUGGUGAGGUAAUGGCUCACCAAGGCGACGAUCCCUAGCUGGUCUGACAGGAUGAUCGGCCACACUGGGACUGAGACACGGCCCAAACUCCUACCGGAGGCA